rnacentral:rRNA from 1 species
GAUGAACGCUGGCGGCGUGCCUAAUACAUGCAAGUCGAGCGAACGGACGAGAAGCUUGCUUCUCUGAUGUUAGCGGCGGACGGGUGAGUAACACGUGGAUAACCUACCUAUAAGACUGGGAUAACUUCGGGAAACCGGAGCUAAUACCGGAUAAUAUUUUGAACCGCAUGGUUCAAAAGUGAAAGACGGUCUUGCUGUCACUUAUAGAUGGAUCCGCGCUGCAUUAGCUAGUGGUAAGGUAACGGCUUACCAAGGCAACGAUGCGUAGCCGACCUGAGAGGGUGAUCGGCCACACUGGAACUGAGACACGGUCCAGACUCCUACGGGAGGCAGCAGUAGGGAAUCUUCCGCAAUGGGCGAAAGCCUGACGGAGCAACGCCGCGUGAGUGAUGAAGGUCUUCGGAUCGUAAAACUCUGUUAUUAGGGAAGAACAAAUGUGUAAGUAACUGUGCACAUCUUGACGGUACCUAAUCAGAAAGCCACGGCUAACUACGUG